GAUGAACGCUAGCUACAGGCUUAACACAUGCAAGUCGAGGGGCAGCAUGAUUGAAGCUUGCUUCAAUUGAUGGCGACCGGCGCACGGGUGAGUAACACGUAUCCAACCUUCCGUACACUCAGGGAUAGCCUUUCGAAAGAAAGAUUAAUACCUGAUGGUAUCUUAAGCACACAUGUAAUUAAGAUUAAAGAUUUAUCGGUGUACGAUGGGGAUGCGUUCCAUUAGGUAGUAGGCGGGGUAACGGCCCACCUAGCCUACGAUGGAUAGGGGUUCUGAGAGGAAGGUCCCCCACAUUGGAACUGAGACACGGUCCAAACUCCUACGGGAGGCAGCAGUGAGGAAUAUUGGUCAAUGGACGAGAGUCUGAACCAGCCAAGUAGCGUGAAGGAUGAAGGUCCUACGGAUUGUAAACUUCUUUAUAAGGGAAUAAAACCUCCCACGUGUGGGAGCUUGUAUGUACCUUAUGAAUAAGCAUCGGCUAACUCCGUGCCAGCAGCCG
rnacentral:rRNA from 1 species